rnacentral:misc_RNA from 1 species
GAUGAAGAACGUAGUGAAAUGCGAUAAUUAAUGUGAAUUGCAGAAUUCAGUGAAUCAUCGAAUCUUUGAACGCACAUUGCGCCCGCCAGUAUUCUGGCGGGCAUGCCUGUUCGAGCGUCAUUACAACCCUCAGGCCCCCGGGCCUGGCGUUGGGGAUCGGCGGAGCCCCCCGUGGGCACACGCCGUCCCCCAAAUACAGUGGCGGUCCCGCCGCAGCUUCCAUCGCGUAGUAGCUAACACCUCGCGACUGGAGAGCGGCGCGGCCACGCCGUAAAACACCCAACUCUUCUGAAGUUGACCUCGAAUCAGGUAGGAAUACCCGCUGAACUUAAGCAUAUCAAUAAGCGGAGGA